rnacentral:lncRNA from 1 species
CGAUAUGUGAAUGCAUUUUAUAAAUGCCCUGCUCUCAGCUGCUGAACAUUCUCCUGCUGAAAGGCAGGGAGCUAAUUAGCACAGCCACCUCGACAGCGUCUGUUCCAGUCUCCCCUGCAUGCAUGCUAGAACACCUUUGAACAAUGGAUGACAGUCUGCAGAGAGCACAGAGCUCCCGGAGAACAUAAAAAUGCAAUGGAACAGAAUGAAGGGAUGCAAGUCACAAUCGUCUCAACUGCAAGUUGGCCAAAGUAAACAUUGCCCCAAAGUGCUCCCAAAGCUUGCUGGCACAUAAACAUGAAUGAAUGAACAAUGUAGAAUUCACUCAAGAAAUUUCAAGGAGAGAGAGGAGGAGAUUUACAUCACACAGCAAACAACCUAAUAAAUCUGUUAAACGCCA